rnacentral:lncRNA from 1 species
GAAUUCAAUAAGAAAAAGAAGAAGAAUCGAACAGCUGGGGCGAAAUUGAAAGUAAUUGAACAAAUACCAGCGGGCAGCCAGCGGGUCAGUUGCUGGUAACAAUUUGCAGAACGAUUCCACGGUGAUCGUUGCAUCGUCGUCAGUUAGUGAAAUCAGUAAUCAAGCUUUUAAAAUAAAGGAAAACCUCCUACUCCGCUAUACAUAUAAUUACUUUCAUUAUUUAGCUACCAUUCCGGCAGCCGCAACAAACGCUGGCCCAAGCCUGCAAAUUGUUGCCAGCAACUGGAACGCUGGCUGCCCACUGGCAUUUGUUCAACUACUUAAAAAUUCACUUUGUAAACAAACCUUCACACACAUCAAACCACAUCAAGCGGCUCAUCUGGAUGAAAUGAAAGGGCUGUUAGAUGUAAUGCAGCAACGUGCUCCCGAUGUUGAACAUCAGUUCAAAGAAAAGCCAAAUGAGUUGGAAAUGUCGGAUAAGGCCAAUGUAAACCAAGGCGGCAAUCGUAUAGAGACCUUGACGUAGACGCAAUUUAUGUACGAGGAACAGAUUAGAGACUUACAAUCCAUGGUGCAGGAAUUUAUGAUGGUCACAAAAUAUAUUGGCAAAAACAUAGCAAGUGCAUAUGCCAAGUUGGAAAAAUUGACAAUGCGUGAGUAUAAAAUGAAAAGGUGUUCUUAAUUAUAAAU